rnacentral:lncRNA from 1 species
AAAUGGCGCCGAAGAGGAUGGCUGAUGUUUUACAUGCCCAUAACCAAUUGUGCUAUUUUGUCAAUUUUUUUGCGUUGUUUGUAACUUAUUUUUUAACUUAUUUUGUACAUAAUGUUGCUGCUACCGUCUCUUAUGACCGAAAAUAACUUCUGAACAUCAGAACUGGGAUUACUCACCACGAACUGGAAGAAGCUGUUUUCUUUAACGAGUCCGACGAGAAACAUAUACUGCUCUCCCGUGAACAGGCCCAGAUCCCCAUCAUUUGUGUGAAGAAAAGACGGAGGAAAAGAGGACGCAGAUCGGGCUGCCUUUUGAGAAUCCCUAGGCGAGCGAGUAAACUCCCACUGCCAUCAAUUCUACUUGCUAACAUGCAAUCAUUGGAAAAUAAAAUUGAUGACCUACGAUUAUCCUACCAACGGGACAUUAAGAACUGUAAUAUCUUAUGUUUCACAGAGUCGUGGCUGAACGACGACACGGAUAACAUAGAGCUGGAGGGAUUUUCAAUUCACCGGCAGAACAGAGAAGCUACGUCUGGUAAAGCGAGGGGUGAGGUACCAGGGGGUCAUGGCAGAUUGAUCAUGAUAGACCUGGCUGACAGUAUAAAGGGGACCAGUAGAACCACUGACAGCAGAACUGAACGGCCUGAGUCAGAGCUGGGCAGUGAUAUCCUGGCCUUAAUCAACAAUGGAAACAAAAACAUCCCUAACAGGGACAAUAAAGUGACCAUGCUGCUACAGGAGUCUCUGGGUAAUAUUUUAACUGUCGUACGACCGUGCUGGCCCAUGUGACUGACUUACCAGAACACUGCUCAGAGACACUGUCAACUGUCCAGAUCACCUCACGCAUUCGUAGGACACAGAAGAAGGCAAAAAUAUGUAAAUGACUGAAUUAGAGAUUUCUUACCAUGGUGCCAAUAAUG